UAGAUGCGAAACUCCAUUGAAAAAAGAUACGGAUGAUAUGUUAGAAGGUGAAGAAAAGGGACCAGAUAUCAUACCAACAAAUACAGAUAGUCGCUCUAACUAUGCAGGCAGCAGGACUAUUAGCAGACAUUGGAGCGAUCCAUCGACGGAGGGUAGCAUUGAAGCAAGAAAAGUUAACCACUCUACCUUCGAUAAGGGGGUUGAUCCUAUUCAAUGGUCUUGGCUAAAGAAAGGAAGAGUGAGAGGAUGAGAAAGAGGAAAUAUAAAUUCUUAACUUGUUACUAAAAUAAUUUAUUAAAAAAUUAUCAUUAUGUUACCUAUAUAUCAC